CCCGGGCGAAGGGCGGGGGGGCAUGGCCGCAACCCGACCAGGUAUGUUUGCAUCCAAAUAGGAAUGCAAAGCAUGUGCUGGGCAGGCACUGGGACAGCAUGGAUCAAGUCUGGGCCAGAACUCUGAAGGAAUCCUUCCUGUGACAGCAAGAUGAGCAGAGACAGCUGGUUAGAAGAACAACAACAACAAAAACACAUCAUCAUUCCUGCUUUGGCUCCAAAAAAUCUUGGACUUGCUGUCAAGGAAGAAAGCUAUGUAUGUAAGGAGCCAAGAAAGAGACAAAUAUUAUUGAAUUUGGUAGCAUUUUAGUGAAUGUGCUGGAAAUAACUUAAGUAGGAAGAAAAGCUGGAUGCGCUCCAUUGUUUAUUAAAAGAAUGCCUCCUCUUAUUUCCACAGGGACCUAUAGCCCAUAUUGUCAUUAACACAUUUACGAGAUGUAUAUUUAAAAUAUGUUGCUUCACUCAUCAAUCUUACGGGCUCUUCUUGUAAAGAAGAGUUACAGCACAUAAAAAUAUGUACUGCCACAUAAAUAUAGUAGCUGCAAGCUAGAGGUGCCAACUGUGAAUACAGCUCCUUCAAUCAAGGAAGAUGGGUGUAGUAUGAAGACAAUUAUAGAGAUCAGAAUUAUUAGAAAAGGAAGAGAAGAGAAAAUCAGAUUUCCACUGGUGGAAAAUAAAAGAUUUAAAAAAAAAAAAGAACAUGUUUAAAAUACAAAGAGAAAUUCUGGAUGAAGAACAAUCAGCAAAUCAGAGAUGAGUUUUCUGACAA